CCUACGGGCGGCAGCAGUGGGGAAUAUUGCACAAUGGGGGAAACCCUGAUGCAGCGACGCCGCGUGAGUGAAGAAGUAUUUCGGUAUGUAAAGCUCUAUCAGCAGGGAAGAAAAUGACGGUACCUGAUUAAGAAGCCCCGGCUAACUACGUGCCAGCAGCCGCGGCAAUAUGUGGGGGGCAAGCGUUAUCCGGAUUUAUUGGGUUUAAAGGGUGCGUAGGCGGAUGGUUAGGUCAGCGGUAAAAGCCCGGGGCUCAACCCCGGCGAGCCGUUGAAACUGGCUGUCUUGAGAGGUCGAGAGGUAUGCGGAAUGCGUAGUGUAGCGGUGAAAUGCUUAGAGAUUGCGCAGAACUCCGAUUGCGAAGGCAGCAUACCGGCGGCGAUCUGACGCUGAGGCACGAAAGCGUGGGUAGCGAACAGGAUUAGAUACCCCUGUAGUC
rnacentral:rRNA from 1 species